GGUCUCUUGGUGUAAGGGUAGCACGCUAUGAUCUCUGCAGCAUAGUAGUCUAGGUUCAAUUCCUAGAGAGGCUA